rnacentral:rRNA from 1 species
AUAAGCGCCGGUAAGGUGAUAUGAACCGUUAUAACCGGCGAUACUCGAAUGGGGAAACCCAGUGUGAUUCGUCACACUAUCAUUAACUGAAUCCAUAGGUUAAUGAGGCGAACCGGGGGAACUGAAACAUCUAAGUACCCCGAGGAAAAGAAAUCAACCGAGAUUCCCCCAGUAGCGGCGAGCGAACGGGGAGGAGCCCAGAGCCUGAAUCAGCAUGUGUGUUAGUGGAAGCGUCUGGAAAGGCGCGCGAUACAGGGUGACAGCCCCGUACACAAAAGCGCAUGUGCUGUGAGCUCGAUGAGUAGGGCGGGACACGUGGUAUCCUGUCUGAAUAUGGGGGGACCAUCCUCCAAGGCUAAAUACUCCUGACUGACCGAUAGUGAACCAGUACCGUGAGGGAAAGGCGAAAAGAACCCCGGCGAGGGGAGUGAAAAAGAACCUGAAACCGUGUACGUACAAGCAGUGGGAGCACCCUUUGGGUGUGACUGCGUACCUUUUGUAUAAUGGGUCAGCGACUUAUAUUCUGUAGCAAGGUUAACCGAAUAGGGGAGC